UUGAGGUUUCUUUGGCACCGGAAUGAUGGAGGCAGUUUUGAGACAGGCUGGCACUGUGGCUUGGUCCAGUGAGCAGAGGCGGAGCUAGAGGGGGGGCCGGGGGGGCCAGUGCCCCCCCAGCCAUCUGAUUGGCCCCCCCAGCGGCCCCCCCAAAUGAUCGACAUGUCACGACACCCAGUCAUUCCUUCACAGUAGGUAGCACUAUGUACCACAAUGGGUUGUGACACUUGUGACUGUUGUGACUGCUCAAAAGCAGCAGGGGGCGAUAUGCACCAUUUACGUUUAUUGUGAUACACCAUUUGGACACAACAGAGUUGACCCAACAGAAGAAGAGAAGGAGAACCGCGAAGAGACGAUAGAGAAAUAUUGUACAGCUAAGAGGAAUACAGUCGAUUUGACUCCAAGACGGAUAAUCUGACUUCAAAGUUCCAUCAAAGGAGGAGUCUGAAAACACAGAAAGCUCUGCGCCUGACCAGGAUGAUGAUGAGCCAGAAGGGGCAAUUGCAGGAGAUACCACUGAUCUCUUCUCAGCAGUGUCCAGCACUCCUUUUGCUUUUCCAAAAGGACCCAGUGAUAUUUCAAAGUCAAAAGAACAGGGCCCUGUUCAGCCAAGUUUGACAAACUUCCCCAGAACUCAGCAUGGAACAAGAAAGAGAACUUUUCACAGCUCCUGGUACAAAGACUAUUCUUGGUUAGAAUAUUCUGUUAUUAAAGACUCCUCCUACUGCUUUGCCUGUAGGCAUUUUUCUUUGCCUAAUGCACCAGAUAGUGUCUUUGCUUCGCAUUCCGGCUUCAGUAAUUGGAAAAAGGCAUUGUCCAAGGAGUCUGGAUUUAAGCUUCACUCAAAGUUAGAGCACCAUGUAAAUGCAAUGUAUGCAUGGAGUCAAUAUAAAAGGGCUAAAAGGGCUACUUGUACCAAUGAUAGUUUAGGAGUCAGUACAUUUGGUCAUAGCUGCAUUAAGUUCGAAAAUAAAAUGCACAUGUAGCAUCUAUUAAAUAACAGUUUCCAUAACAUACAACCUUCUUUUUUGAGAUAUUGUAAUUGUGAACUGUGUGACACUGCAUUCUCAUUGUAAGUCUUGUCUUGUUACAAUGGUGUCAUUUAGAGGUUAAUGUCCACUUAUGCUUUGUGUGGCAUGCAUUGAUAAUAAACUGCAAAUUACAUGAGCAAA